rnacentral:rRNA from 1 species
AUUGAACGCUGGCGGCAGGCCUAACACAUGCAAGUCGAGCGGGGUUUUCGGACCUAGCGGCGGACGGGUGAGUAAUGCGUAGGAAGCUGCCCGAUAGAGGGGGAUACCAGUUGGAAACGACUGUUAAUACCGCAUAAUGUCUACGGACCAAAGUGUGGGACCUUCGGGCCACAUGCUAUCGGAUGCGCCUACGUGGGAUUAGCUAGUUGGUGAGGUAAUGGCUCACCAAGGCGACGAUCUCUAGCUGGUUUGAGAGGAUGAUCAGCCACACUGGAACUGAGACACGGUCCAGACCCCUACGGGAGGCAGCAGUGGGGAAUAUUGGACAAUGGGCGCAAGCCUGAUCCAGCCAUGCCGCGUGUGUGAAGAAGGCCUUCGGGUUGUAAAGCACUUUCAGCGAGGAGGAAGGGUGGUGUGUUAAUAGCACAUCAUUUUGACGUUACUCGCAGAAGAAGCACCGGCUAACUCUGUGCCAGCCGCCGCUAUAAGAC